CCUACGGGUGGCAGCAGUGGGGAAUAUUGGACAAUGGGCGAAAGCCUGACCCAGCAACGCCGCGUGAAGGAAGAAGGCUUUCGGGUUGUAAACUUCUUUUGACAGGGACGAAGCAAGUGACGGUACCUGACUAAUAAGCCACGGCUAACUACGUGCCAGCAGCCGCGGUAAUACGUAGGUGGCAAGCGUUAUUCGGAUUUAUUGGGUGUAAAGGGCGUGUAGGCGGGAAUGCAAGUCAGAUGUGAAAACUAUGGGCUUAACCCAUAGAUUGCAUUUGGAACUGUAUUGCUUGAGUGCUGGAGAGGCAAUCGGAAUUCCGUGUGUAGCGGUGAAAUGCGUAGAUAUAAGGAGGAACACCAGUGGCGAAGGCGGAUUUCUGGACAGUAACUGACGCUGAGGCGCGAAAGCGUGGGGAGCAAACAGGAUUAGAUACCCUAGUAGUC
rnacentral:rRNA from 1 species